rnacentral:misc_RNA from 1 species
GGGUCAUUGUUGAGAAACCAUUUGGUCGUGAUUUAGAAUCAUCUAGUGAGCUGACCAGAUGCCUAAAGAAGUACCUAACUGAGGAGCAAAUCUUUCGAAUUGACCAUUACUUGGGAAAAGAACUUGUUGAGAAUCUCUCAGUUCUUCGGUUCUCGAAUCUUGUCUUUGAGCCUCUUUGGUCCAGAAACUACAUCCGCAAUGUCCAAUUUAUAUUUUCUGAAGAUUUUGGUACCGAGGGACGAGGAGGAUACUUUGACCACUACGGGAUCAUCCGUGAUAUUAUGCAAAAUCAUCUCCUUCAAAUACUAGCAUUGUUUGCUAUGGAAACACCUGUCAGCUUGGAUGCUGAGGACAUCAGAAAUGAAAAGGUUAAAGUUUUAAGGUCAAUGAGGCCAUUGCAACUUGAAGAUAUUGUUCUUGGACAGUAUAAGGGUCAUAGCAAGGGUGCUAAAUCAUACCCAGCUUACACAGAUGAUCUAACUGUGCCAAAUGGCAGUAUCACUCCAACAUUUUCUGCUGCUGCACUCUUUAUUGAUAAUGCACGUUGGGACGGGGUUCCUUUCCUCAUGAAAGCAGGAAAAGCUCUCCAUACAAAGAGGGCAGAGAUCAGGGUCCAGUUCAGACAUGUCCCCGGAAAUUUGUACAAAAGGAACUUUGGAGCUGAUAUGGAUAAGGCAACCAAUGAGCUAGUUCUGCGUCUACAACCCGAUGAAGCCAUAUAUCUGAAAAUUAACAACAAGGUUCCUGGUCUUGGAAUGAGACUUGACCGGAGUGACCUUAAUCUUCUUUACAAAGCAAAGUAUCGAGGUGAAAUACCAGAUGCAUAUGAGCGGCUUUUGUUAGAUGCAAUAGA